GCAGACACAUACCAGCCAAUCAGCAGCAGACCCUCCCUCCCAGACCCUCCCAUCUCCUGGACAGCUCACUAAGAAUGCAGCUUCACAAUGAAUGUAAAAUGGAUGCUGUCCAGGAGGUGGGAGGGUCUGGGAGGGAGGGUCUGCUGCUGAUUGGCUGGAAUGUGUCUG
rnacentral:miRNA from 1 species